rnacentral:lncRNA from 1 species
GUGUGGGAUAUAUUAAGGACAUACCUUGAGAACUUUUGUUCCAGGCAAGAGGGAUCUAAGGGGCUAAGAGAGGUGGGUCUGGUCCCAGCUGUGUUGGUGAGAGGUAGCGUGUGGACAUCUGUGUUGCAUAAUUCUGGACAGGCAGCAAAGCCUGACCUGUGGAUGGGGCCUGACCCUAAAGGAAUGUAACAACCAAAGGAAGUGCCUGAUCCUUGAUGGAAUCCCGUACUGAAAAGAAUAAAAGUAAAACUGCUAUAAAGGACAUUAUCGAGACAUUUGGGGAACUAGAAUAUGAGCUGUAUGAGGACAGCCUUGUAACAAUGUUAAACAUUUUGGUUAUUCUGGUAUUUAGUUAGUAUUUUUGUUGUGUGGGAGAAUGCCGCUUGUUGUAGUAUUCUGCUUGAUACACGGAUGC